UACGAAGGGUGCAAACGUUGCUCGGAAUCAUUGGGCGUAAAGCGCACGUAGGCGGCCUCGCAAGUCUGAUGUGAAAUCCCUCGGCUCAACCGAGGACGUGCAUCGGAAACUGCGGGGCUUGAGUACUGAAGAGGAUCGCGGAAUUCCCGGUGUAGAGGUGAAAUUCGUAGAUAUCGGGAGGAACACCAGUGGCGAAGGCGGCGAUCUGGGCAGAUACUGACGCUGAGGAGCGAAAGCCAGGGGAGCAAACGGG
rnacentral:rRNA from 1 species